UACGUAGGGGGCAAGCGUUGUCCGGAUUUAUUGGGCGUAAAGAGCUCGUAGGCGGUGUGUCACGUCGGCCGUGAAAACCUGCAGCUUAACUGUGGGCGUGCGGUCGAUACGGGCAUCACUGGAGUUCGGCAGGGGAGACUGGAAUUCCUGGUGUAGCGGUGAAAUGCGCAGAUAUCAGGAGGAACACCGGUGGCGAAGGCGGGUCUCUGGGACGGUACUGACGCUGAGACGCGAAAGCGUGGGGAGCGAACAGG
rnacentral:rRNA from 1 species